rnacentral:rRNA from 1 species
AUUGACCGCUGGCGGCAGGCCUAACACAUGCAAGUCGAACGAGUGGCGGACGGGUGAGUAAUGUCUGGGAAACUGCCUGAUGGAGGGGGAUAACUACUGGAAACGGUAGCUAAUACCGCAUCCCAUCAGAUGUGCCCAGAUGGGAUUGGCUAGUUGGUGGGGUAACGGCUCACCAAGGCGACGAUCCCUAGCUGGGCUGAGAGGAUGACCAGCCACACUGGAACGGAGACACGGGCCAGACUCCUACGGGAGGCAGAAGGGGGGAAUAUUGAACAAUGGGCGCAAGCCUGAUGCAGCCAUGCCGCGUGUAUGAAGAAGGCCUUCGGGUUGUAAAGUACUUUCAGCGGGGAGGCGUUACCCGCAGAAGAAGCACCGGCUAACUCCGUGCCAGCAGCCGCGGUAAUUC